AACUGAAUUAAUAUGUAGAGGGGGUUGUAUCUCUGAAUAUUUAAAGCCUAAAUAUUGCAACAGCAUUAUUACACAGUAGAGGGAGGAAGCUAAAGGAAGUCUAUGGACAGUACUUCCUCGCGUAUUGCUAAAGGAGGAGUUGACCACACCAAAAUGAGUCUACAUGGUGCUAGUGGGGGACAUGAGAGAUCAAGAGAUAGACGAAGGUCAAGUGACAGAUCACGAGAUUCAUCUCAUGAAAGAACAGAGUCUCAGCUCACUCCUUGUAUUAGAAAUGUGACUUCUCCAACACGACAGCACCAUGUUGAACGAGAAAAAGAUCACAGUUCCUCUCGUCCAAGCAGUCCGCGUCCUCAAAAAGCAUCCCCAAAUGGUUCCAUUAGCAGUGCUGGGAACAGCAGCAGAAACAGUAGUCAGUCAAGUUCAGAUGGUAGCUGUAAGACAGCUGGGGAGAUGGUGUUUGUAUAUGAAAAUGCAAAAGAAGGAGCUCGGAAUAUAAGAACGUCAGAACGAGUGACACUAAUAGUGGAUAACACUAGAUUUGUUGUAGACCCAUCCAUUUUUACUGCACAGCCAAAUACAAUGUUGGGCAGGAUGUUUGGAUCUGGCCGAGAACAUAACUUUACACGACCCAAUGAGAAAGGAGAGUAUGAGGUGGCAGAGGGAAUUGGUUCCACUGUGUUUCGAGCUAUUCUGGAUUACUAUAAAACAGGAAUAAUCCGUUGUCCUGAUGGCAUAUCUAUUCCUGAACUGAGAGAAGCAUGUGACUAUCUUUGUAUCUCUUUUGAAUAUAGCACUAUUAAAUGUAGAGAUCUCAGUGCCCUAAUGCAUGAGUUAUCAAAUGAUGGUGCUCGUAGACAAUUUGAAUUUUAUCUGGAAGAAAUGAUCCUCCCUCUCAUGGUAGCUAGUGCCCAGAGUGGGGAACGGGAAUGUCAUAUAGUGGUGCUUACAGAUGAUGAUGUGGUUGAUUGGGAUGAAGAAUAUCCACCACAGAUGGGAGAAGAAUAUUCACAAAGUAAGUACUCUGGCAUGUUUUCUCUCUCCUGAAUCAUCACGAAUUAUUUCUUGUUUAUGUAAAGAAAGAGCUCUUCUCAUAGACCAGCCUGGGGGUCAAUCCAGCCCAUCA
rnacentral:sRNA from 1 species